GAUGAACGCUGCGGCGUGCGUAACACAUGCAAGUUGGACGACGGUGCCAUGAAGUGGUAACGCGGAGUGGUAUACGGAGUAGCGGACGGGUGAGUACAACAUGAGAAGCUGUCCUUCAGAGGGGGGCAACGUCUGGAAGCGGACGCUAAUACCCCAUAGGCCGAGAGGUUAAAGCAGAGAUGCGCUGGAGGAGGUGCUCGUGCCCUAUCAGCUAGUUGGUGAGGUAACGGCUCACCAAGGCGACGACGGGUAGCCGGCCUGAGAGGGUGAACGGCCACACUGGAACUGAGAUACGGUCCAGACUCCUACGGGAGGCAGCAGUGGGGAAUAUUGGGCAAUGGGAGGAAUCCUGACCCAGCGACGUCGCGUGAACGAUGAAGGCUUAGGGUUGUAAAGUUUCUUUUAUGUGGGAAGAAGGAAGUGACGGUACCACAGAAUAAGCCCGGCUA
rnacentral:rRNA from 1 species